rnacentral:rRNA from 1 species
AAUGAACGUUGGCGGCGUGGAUUAGGCAUGCAAGUCGAGCGGGUGUAGCAAUACAUCAGCGGCGAAAGGGAGAGUAACGCGUAGUUACGUGCCCCGAGGUCCAGAAUAGCUACGGGAAACUGUAGGUAAUGCUGGAUAAUAUCUCCGGAUCAAAGGUGUGAUUCCGCCUCGGGAGCGGACUGCGUCCUACUAGCUAGUUGGCGGGGUAAUGGCCCACCAAGGCAACGAUGGGUAGCGGGUGUGAGAGCAUGACCCGUCUCACUGGGACUGAGACACUGCCCAGACACCUACGGGUGGCUGCGGUCGAGAAUCUUCGGCAAUGGGCGCAAGCCUGACCGAGCGACGCCGCGUGCGGGAUGAAGGCCUUCGGGUUGUAAACCGCUGUCAGAGGGGAGGAAAUGCGGGUGGGUUCUCCCAUUCGUUUGACCUAUCCUCAGAGGAAGUACGGGCUAAGUUCGUGCCAGCCGCCGCGGUAACAC